GACGAACGCUGGCGGCGUGCUUAACACAUGCAAGUCGAACGGAAAGGCCCUGCUUUUGUGGGGUGCUCGAGUGGCGAACGGGUGAGUAACACGUGAGUAACCUGCCCUUGACUUUGGGAUAACUUCAGGAAACUGGGGCUAAUACCGGAUAGGAGCUCCUGCUGCAUGGUGGGGGUUGGAAAGUUUCGGCGGUUGGGGAUGGACUCGCGGCUUAUCAGCUUGUUGGUGGGGUAGUGGCUUACCAAGGCUUUGACGGGUAGCCGGCCUGAGAGGGUGACCGGCCACAUUGGGACUGAGAUACGGCCCAGACUCCUACGGGAGGCAGCAGUGGGGAAUAUUGCACAAUGGGCGGAAGCCUGAUGCAGCAACGCCGCGUGCGGGAUGACGGCCUUCGGGUUGUAAACCGCUUUCGCCUGUGACGAAGCGUGAGUGACGGUAAUGGGUAAAGAAGCACCGGCUAACUACGUGCCAGCAGCCGCGGUGAUACGUAGGGUGCGAGCGUUGUCCGGAUUUAUUGGGCGUAAAGGGCUCGUAGGUGGUUGAUCGCGUCGGAAGUGUAAUCUUGGGGCUUAACCCUGAGCGUGCUUUCGAUACGGGUUGACUUGAGGAAGGUAGGGGAGAAUGGAAUUCCUGGUGGAGCGGUGGAAUGCGCAGAUAUCAGGAGGAACACCAGUGGCGAAGGCGGUUCUCUGGGCCUUUCCUGACGCUGAGGAGCGAAAGCGUGGGGAGCGAACAGGCUUAGAUACCCUGAUAGUCCACGCUGUAAACGGUGGGUACUAGGUGUGGGGUCCAUUCCACGGGUUCCGUGCCGUAGCUAACGCUUUAAGUACCCCGCCUGGGGAGUACGGCCGCAAGGCUAAAACUCAAAGGAAUUGACGGGGCCCCGCACAAGCGGCGGAGCAUGCGGAUUAAUUCGAUGCAACGCGUAGAACCUUACCUGGGUUUGACAUGGAUCGGGAGCGCUCAGAGAUGGGUGUGCCUCUUUUGGGGUCGGUUCACAGGUGGUGCAUGGCUGUCGUCAGCUCGUGUCGUGAGAUGUUGGGUUAAGUCCCGCAACGAGCGCAACCCUUGUUCACUGUUGCCAGCACGUUAUGGUGGGGACUCAGUGGAGACCGCCGGGGUCAACUCGGAGGAAGGUGGGGAUGACGUCAAGUCAUCAUGCCCCUUAUGUCCAGGGCUUCACGCAUGCUACAAUGGCUGGUACAGAGAGUGGCGAGCCUGUGAGGGUGAGCGAAUCUCGGAAAGCCGGUCUCAGUUCGGAUUGGGGUCUGCAACUCGACCUCAUGAAGUCGGAGUCGCUAGUAAUCGCAGAUCAGCAACGCUGCGGUGAAUACGUUCCCGGGGCU
rnacentral:rRNA from 1 species